AUUGAACGCUGGCGGCAGGCUUAACACAUGCAAGUCGAGCGGGGUGAUGGUGCUUGCACUAUCACUUAGCGGCGGACGGGUGAGUAAUGCUUAGGAAUCUGCCUAUUAGUGGGGGACAACAUCUCGAAAGGGAUGCUAAUACCGCAUACGUCCUACGGGAGAAAGCAGGGGAUCACUUGUGACCUUGCGCUAAUAGAUGAGCCUAAGUCGGAUUAGAUAGUUGGUGGGGUAAAGGCCUACCAAGGCGACGAUCUGUAGCGGGUCUGAGAGGAUGAUCCGCCAAGCUGGGACUGAGACACGGCCCAGACUCCUACGGGAGACAGCAGUGGGGAAUAUUGGACAAUGGGGGGAACCCUGAUCCAGCCAUGCCGCGUGUGUGAAGAAGGCCUUAUGGUUGUAAAGCACUUUAAGCGAGGAGGAGGCCCUUUUGGUUAAUACCCAAGAUGAGUGGACGUUACUCGCAGAAUAAGGAUCGGCUAACUCCGUGCCAGCAGCCGCCGUAA
rnacentral:rRNA from 1 species